UAAACACUUCCUACAUCCUGUAUGUGUUUUGCAUCCGGUACAGAUGUGGGAGUCGUUUGCA
rnacentral:pre_miRNA from 1 species